rnacentral:lncRNA from 1 species
AAACUGAUCAAUUAAACUAUUUUAGAAUACAGUUCAUGUCACUAGAACUUUAGAAUUAUAUUUCAGUAGAAUUAUAUUUCUAUGGCAAUUGCCUUUGUGACGUCGCUGUUCAAAACCCAAAUGGUCCCAGGCGUUCGCAUUGAUGAGGGGUGCGUCACUUGAGUGGGUUGAGUCACUGACGUGAUCUUCCUAUCCGGGUUGGUGCCACCCUUUGGGUUUGUGCCAUGGGGGAGAUCUUCGUGGGCUAUACUCGGGCUUGUCUCAGGAUGGAUCUGAGCCCUAGGACCAUGCCUCAGGACUACCUGGCCUGAUGACUCCUUGCUGUCCCCAGUCCACCUGGUUGUGCUGCUGUUCCAGUUUCAACUGUUCUGCCUGCUCCUAUGGAACCCUGACCUGUUCACCGGACGUGCUACCUGUCCCAGACCUGCUGUUUUCAACUCUCUAGAGACAGCAGGAGCGGUAGAGAUACUCUGAAUGAUCGGCUAUGAAAAGCCAAAUGACAUUUACUCUUGAGGUGAUGACCUGUUUCACCCUCUACAACAAGUAUUAUUAUUUGACCCUGCUGGUCAUCUAUGAACAUUUGAACAUCUUGGCCAUGUUCUGUUAUAAUCUCCACCUGGCACAGCCAGAAGAGGACUGGCCACCCCUCAUAGCCUGCUUCCUCUCUAGGUUUCUUCCUAGGUUCUGCCCUUUCUAGGGUUUUUUUCCUGCCAUCAUGCUUCUACACCUGCAUUGCUUGCUAUUUGGGAUUUUAGGCUGGGUUUCUGUACAGCACUUUGUGACAUCAGCUGAUGUAAGAAGGGCUUUAUAAAUACAUUUUAUUGAUUGAUUGAUUGUUCUAUCUGCGCUAACAUUAAUAAAUGAUGGUUUAGCUACAUUGAAAAGGAACUCAUGUUACUCAUAGUGUGUGUUGACACACCUAGCUGGCUAGGAAUGACUAUGGCUUUUCAAGUCACUCAGCAGUGCUAUUUGCAGAGUUGAUUUUUUUAAGCUAUUCCCUAGUAACCAAAAUGGACAGUACCACAACAAGUUAUGUAAUGAUUCUGUGUCUUUGAUGCAAAAUCUGCAGAGCUGAAAUGGUUGUAUCCCCCAUAUACAAAACAUUCUUAUCACACUCUGAUCUGUUUCACCUAUCUUUGUGCUUGUCUCCACCCUGCUCCUGGUGUCGCCCAUCUUCCCCAUGAUCCCCGGUGCAUUUUUCCUGUGUUUUCUGUUUGUCUGUUGCCAGUUCGUCUUGUCUCGUCAAGCCUAUCAGCGUUUUUUCCAGUACUCCUGUUUCGUGUUAGUUCUUGUUUAUCUAGUUCUACCGGUUUUGACCGUUCUGCCUGCCCUGACCCUGAGCCUGCCUGCCAUUCUGUACCUUACAGACUCUGCCCUGGAUUACUGACCUCUGCCUGCCCUUUACCUGUUGUUUGCCUGCCCCCUGUUUCGUAAAUAAAUAUCUGCU